rnacentral:lncRNA from 1 species
AUGAGGAUGUCCACUACUGGAUGCUAUGGCGCACUGUGGCCCUCCACGCUGCACACUCGUCUGUUUGCCACUAGAUGAAGAUGUGCCCUGCUGGAGGCUACGUCCAGUCAGUGCUCAGACACAGCCUGGCUUUGCUCUACACCGAGAGUGCCAGCAGCAGUCCCACGUCCACUCACAGCCACGGCCUGCGGCAUCCACCCUGCCUCUGCAGAGCUACCACUCUUCAACAGGCUUCCACACUCUGCCACGCACAUCAGAAGUGAAGCAAUGUCACAACUGGCUCGUCUGUACAGUCGCAUAUUCCACUCAGUUUCCUUCUCCAAGGCAGUCGGGAUCCCUGCUACUCCAAGCUGGCACUCGGAAUGAGUCUGGAGAGCAGAGACGAGUCAGGUGCAGCCUGGUAUCGCUGUGCUUGUCAGCCUGCUGUGGGGCACCUUACAUUGCUUACUGCUGCCAAAGAGAAGUAUAUUACCGGAAAUGUCUCAAACCAGAAGAGCCGGAAGCCAGCUGUUUCUGUUCUGCAACAGCCGCUGUCCCCAGGAGAGCUCCGUUUUUCUUCAGAGUGUUACUAUGCAGACAAUUCUGAAAUAAAACAAAUAUUAGGGUUUGUUGUUAUUCAAGUGGAAGGAGGUUAUGUUACCAAUGUUCGUCUUGUUUAUUUUGAUCCACUGCCUUAAGAAAGACCAUGUCAUUUUAACCAGCAGAUGUCCCUGUUGUUCAGCAAUGUUCUUUUCUUCCCAAGUAGUUGGUUCACCAUAGAUGGAAAUCUGGGGGCUUGAAUGUAUAAUGAUGUAUUACAGCAGAACAAGGGCAGCCCUCAGGGAUAAGAAAACUGAAGGAACAGGCAUUGUUCUUUGAAAUUUAAACAUGACAAAGCUCUCUGCAGUUUAAAGACUUGUUGUGGAACAAAUGCCUUCUUGCCCAGCCAGUGUACAUCUGGUUUCCAUGCACAGGGCAUGCUGUGGCAGAGACAGGAAUGAGGAGCUCCUACGACAUUUGCAGCUCUAGGGAAUUUGUCCAUCUGUGUCUGUCAUUCAGUCACUUUGCCCAGCAGCUCCUUGUGUGAAGCAGUGUUCUAGGCACAGCGGAUGCGGUGGACAUGGAGUCCUGCUCUCCAGGAUCGUAUGCUCUGGUGGAAGGGCUUGCGUACUCGGUGCAGCUUGUACCAGACUUUCCGGUUAACAUAUCAAUUCACUAAAGUCCUAGAAACUACCCGUAAAAUUUGCUCAUGAUCAACAAGACAGUCAAGACUGAGAAAAACAAUGUGAAUCAAAUCACUUGGUGUCAUUAGAUUAAAGUAGAUCCCAAAUAUUAGGAAAGAUGGCCAAUGUCCAUUGGUCUCUCUUAGUCAAUACACUAAUAACCUGCCUGGCAAAUAUUAAGUUCUCUAAAAGUGGAAGAUAUUACUUGUAUUUACCCCAAACAACAAAGAAUAAAUAACAAAGAAUGAAUAACAAGGCAAGAAAAAUAUUGCAUUCAGCGUGUGUGUAUGUUUUACUGUUGUGUAGCAUUUAUUAGGAGAGUAAUUAAUUCUGUUGCAGUUCAGAAGAGCUUUGGAUUAUCAAAAAUGUAUUUAAUACAUUGACUUUAGCAUAACAACAGGUAGUCUAAAUCUAGAUAUCUUUUCAGCUUCUUUUAAACUGCAUUUUAAAAUGGCAGUCUAUUGCCAAUGGGUAUGAAAGGGCAUAUAGUAAGUUCUAUUUCUAAAAACACAUAUUAUUUCUUCUUGGAAACUGCCUGGCUUUCAUGUUUCCAGACAGUGUUUGAGUACUAGAGAAAGAAAUAUGGCCUUGUACCUAAGGAAUCCCCUUCUAACGAGGGGUCACCGGGUACUCUUAAUCUAGAUGUAGAAGAUGCUUACAAUUCCAUGCAAGCUAACAUCUUUCUGGACCCGAAAUUGUUAGGGUUAAUGUCUAAACCCAAACAACACACUGUUGCCAGGCACGAUGGCACACGCCCGUAAUCCCAGCGCUCUGGGAGCCUCAGGCAGAAGGGUCAUAAGCUUGAGCUCAACCUGGGCAACUCAGUGACUUAGCAAGACCCUGUCUCAAAGUUUAAAAGAAUUCCGGAAGGGUUGGGGACGUAACUCGGGCUGAGGUCCUGGAUUGAGUCCCCAGCAUGGUGCUGCCGAAAGAGCAAGGAACAGCUCCACCGCACGCAGCCCAGCAGGUUACUCCUCUCCAGGCCAGCAAUUACUGGAGCUAUCGGCCAGGUCUUUUAAUCCCGAUCCAAUUGAAGACUAUCUACACGGUGUUAAAUACAAAUACAUCAAAUUAAAUUCCAAAGCGUGACAUGUUAGUCAGGACUGUAUGGGAAUUAGGCAGACCCAGUGAAGAAAUGUGACACGGAAUUCUUAAUUUAAUGAAAUGAUGACUAAUAGAAUUAGGAAGGCGGUUUCUAUGGACCAGCCAUCUAGGCUUGAAAGUAUUAUUAUAUGUAAUCAUAUUUUAUAAUUAUAGCCAUUGCAGCAUAUAUAACACUAUUUUAACAAACCUAGGGUAAGGAAGGUAAAUGAUUUUAGCAGAGAAUCGGUAAUGUCUUUUUUCUGUGUGUUUUUAUGUUUCUUACCAAAAGUUUAUUUUUCUUCCUAACUUUGCUCUGUGUUGAUUCAACCUGGUGUAGAAAGACACAAGGCCAUCGUAGUCACCGUCUGAAAUAAAGCGAAAGCCCCUUUCUUUAUUCCAUUGUAACUGGAUAAGCUCUACUUUGGGUUUCCCAGGAUGCACUGUCUUUUCCUUUUUUCUUUGCCAAAGAGCCAUCUGCCUCAGAAUGAGUCUACUAGGAAUACUCUUGGUCUCAGACCACAGGAGUCUCCUCUGGGGAGAAACCCAUGCUGCCUUCCACUGUUGACCAGUUGCAGAAGGGACACAUGAUAUAAAAAGUCCUCUACACAGUGUUACAAAUGACUGUUUCCUGAAGGGGUCAUAGUAAAUACUCUGUCAGAAAUCUGUCUCCUGCAAUGGGUAAAACUGAACAUAAUCUGAAGCUUUUCCUGUCAGGGUUUUCCUACCUCUGUCUUCACUAGGACAACAUUGAAUAAGUCGUAGGACUUUCAAAAUUAGAUUGCUUUCUUCUUGUUCACUGCUGAUGGGAAUGUAAAUUGGUUCAGCCAUUGUGGAAACCCUCGAAAAAGUAAAAAUUAGAACCACCCUAUCAUCCAGAAAUCCCACUACUGGCUAUAGAUCCAAAGGAAGCGCAACAGUCCACCCAAGAGACACCUGGACCCCCGUUCACUGCAGCAGCAUUUCCACCAGUCAGGGAUGGGUGCACUUUGGUUUCCAUCAGCUGAUGAAUAAAGAAAAUGUGGUACAUGUACACAGUGGAAUAGUAUUCAGCCAUAAAAAUGAAAUCCUGUCCUUUGCAAUAACAUAGAUGUAAAGGAAGAUUAUUAUGGUAGGUGAAAUAGGCCAGGUGCAGAAAGACAAGCACUGUGUAUCUCAGUCAUACGUAACAUCUAAAAAAGUUGAUCUCAGAGAAAUUGAGAGUAAGGUGAGAUUAGCAGAAGACAGGGAGGGGAGGGGAAGGGGGAGGCUCCCGCUGGGGAGGAGCAGGAAGCUCUGGUGUGUGCACAGUGAGACGCCCAUAGCAGCAGAAAUGUGGAGCAUACCCAAGAGCUAGAAGAAAGUUCUUAUCAUGAAAAAAAAUGACGCAUAUUUGAGGAGAUUAAUGUUUAACCUGAUGUAAUCAUCUUGUAAUGUUUAUAUGC